rnacentral:misc_RNA from 1 species
CGAAUCGCCACUUCUCUCGGCGCCAAGUACCUUCAUAUUCACAAGA